AAAAUCCAAAUUACACAUCAAUCCUUUAAAUCCAAAUACAAAACAACACAACAUACGAAAUCCAAAUACAAAUAACACAACUCUACAUACAAUUUUAAUUUGAUUCAUUUGAAAGCAACUGAUUAGCAAUCUGGUUACGUAAAGAAGUCAUGUAUGUGUGUUUCUCAAUCAUCAUCUUUGCCAACUUGCUAAUAUCUUCACCAACUUCUAUAAGCUGUGACUCUAAUGUUGCCUUAUGUUUUCGUUUCUCUCCUUUUUCUUUUUUUUUGGGACCGAAUACUUGACUCCUCACUAACACCUUUACCUGGGGAAUCCACUUGAGUGCAUUCGACAUCCAUACCAUCCAAAUUGUGCUCAUUCACUUCCUCAGAAGGAUGAGGAAGCGUAGAACUUGGCCCCCAACUAUCAAACCCAUUUGAAGUAGACCCCUCAAACAAUUGACAACAAAGCUCGGGGAAAGCAAGUGGCGCACUUCUCAAAGCUUCUACAUACUUGUUAGACUGUGU
rnacentral:lncRNA from 1 species